rnacentral:lncRNA from 1 species
GGGGAGGUGUUAAAUUGUAUUUACCUGUAUGUAUGCUAGUGAGCCUACAGGCCCUGUUACAUGUAUUAACUAGCAGGCAGCCUGCCUGUGGGCGCCGCUGGCCCUGGUGAGUCAUGGGUGGUAGCUAGGGUUCCUAACCCUAGCUGCCCCUACGCCUGGUCCCCCAGGCCUAUAUAUGGUUGUAGCUUGUGCAUUUGUCUAAUCAAUCUUUCCUCGCCUAAACAUCUCUUCCAACUCCAUCCAAGUUCAUGAAUCCAUGGAUUGGCAGUGAACUGACUAUGGUUCUCUAUCUAGCUCAACAGAUCUUAUCCUAGCAUAAAGAAUAGAUUGCAUAUGGGGGCAAACAUGAUGUAAAGAUUAAUAGCAUGAGUAAAAGUAGAUCUCAUCCACGUAUAUAUAUGAUAAUACCACCUAAGGUAGCAAGAGCCUAUUAUCUUCUAGUUGUAGUUCUAACUAACAAGCAAGCACAACAUGUAUCCCAUCCAAAGCAAUCUUUAAACUACUACCUCCAGUCAACCUCCCGAAAACCCCCACCUUACAAAAGAAAGAUCCCGUCAUGAUUCUCUCCAUCAGGGUAGGUAGAUUAAGGCCACGAUCACAAGGUAAAUGUGUCUAGUUAUCAAGAAGGAUCAACUUACUAGAUCUAAUUGCCAUGAUUACAUAAAGCAAGCUAUGUAGUCUAACUAUGAAUUAUACUAAGGAACUAGCAUAUUCAUGAUAGAUAGAAGAGUGUACAAGAAGGCAUUGAGUCGCCAACAGAUCGGAUGACAUGAAGAACAUUGCUUAUAUAAUAGAUGUAUUUAGAUCAUCACCCCCGAGUACAUACCAUUGAUGAUCACAACUAGCUCCUGAACUCUACCUAAGCCAUCUCCUAGACAACUUCAAAGACCUACAGCGGCCCUCAGGUCCCUCUGGUGGUUGUUCUUGGUUUUGUCAAGUUCUGGUGGAUUGAUCUGCGAGCUCGGUAAAUUUUUAGGGUCAUUAUAGUCUGGAAAGCGCGUGACAGAAAUUGGAAGGCAAGGGGAGCAAGGAAAGCCCCAAGCCAAUCGGCCUGGGUGGUCUAGCCGUUCCUUGUGCCCUCCCGCGCCCUCCUUUGUCCCCAAGUCUAGUCUGAUAUUCUGGAAGUUUAUUUUCACUUGCAUGUGGACCUGGCACGUUGGUAGCUUUGGGAUGAGAUUGAUCUUCAAUAACUUUCUAAAUCUCUGCUUGAUCUUCUUUGAUUCCUCAUUGAUCCCGAAGUGAUACUUGCCAUAUCUUCACAAACUUGACCCUUGGGAUUGCUUGCCAAAAACAAGCACGAGAGGGGGUCAAAAGACUCCAGGCCGAUCGGCCUGAGGGGCACUUGGCCGAUCGGCCGAGGCUCUAUUUGUGCCUCGUGCUCUUCGUCUUCCUCUGGUCCACUGCUCGUUCAUAGUCUUAUCCAAAAAUCCAUAUUUAGCCCAAUUCCCUGUGAAACAGAAUAUCCUCCAAAAUAUCUUGCAUAUGUGAAAAAAUAGGGUUAUUUCAGUUGACUAGUGGCAGGUUAGUAUAAGAAUAUGCAUGAAAACACUGAUGGUAUGCAUGAAAACACUAGUUAAAUAACACAAAAACUGUGCCAGUAAUGAGCAUCAACAAUCCCUCCAUGCUUUGCUCUUGCUCAUCCUCGAGCAAGUUAAGCGACUACAAACUUCUCCAAAGGGUAAAAUAAAGAUCUUGAACCAAACCUGAGCAAGCGAGUCAAGUACCUAGUCCUUCCAAUAAAAGAUCAGAGGAGUAGCAAAGAUAAUCAAAGUACGGGUGUUCAAAGAUUUAUUUAAGCAAAAAUUACCCCACAGCUUUUAGAACUAAGUAACUUCGUGACUCAAUUAUACUUACUUUCUAGCUUACCUUGGAGGGUUUUUCUUUUGUUAUAAAACAAUCUCCCUUCAACUUGAAUUGAAAACAAAAUUCUCUUUCAGGUGCUUACAUGUCGCUCAAUUUAAAAGUGGCUAUCCUAGUUAUUUUGCAAGCUCUCAUCUCUCAAAUAGUUACUCAUUAUGCCGUGAAUCUUGAACAUAGCUAGCAAGAAUCAAUACUUAUAUUAUCGAAAUAAGAAAACUCUCUAACGGUUGCUUACCUUCCAAGCCAAUAAUCAUGAAACAGGCCUGCUGGGCUGCUGCUGGCACGGCUGCUGCGGCUGGGCCAUAAAGAGAGAAGUUGGCCAAAAGGAAGAGAAGGAAGGGAGGGAAAAGAAAAGAGUUUCCUAUUAUUUAAAAGAUUCAAACAAAUAAAUUCAAACACAAAUUUGAAUUCGAGCAACCAAAACAAUGCACCACCAUGAAUGCAACAAUGAACUCCUAUAAUUCAAUAAUUUAUUUUGAAAAAGAUUUAAAUGCCUAUGAAAAUUUAAAUGCAACCUUAAAAUCCUUAGACACGUGCAUUUAAUUUCUAACAAAUUUUAUUAAUUGCAAAAUUUGAAUAUUAGGGUGUUACAAUAUUAGUCUGCCAAUAUGGGUGGACGGCCUUCAUCUGCAGCGGUGCUCAGAGGCCUUAGUCUACAACGUACUGUCAAUGGCGGCUGUGUAUUGGCGAGGCAACCAGCGGAAAACGAUAACUCAGAAUAUUCAACCUGUAAGUGGCUGAAGGCGAAUUACAGAUUGCACAAAGGCGCUUCUAUUAAUUGACAUGAGGCACUUCCAUAUAUACAAAAUAUGAAACAAACAUACCGCACACGUGUUGUGGGUCUGUUUCAGGUUGCCAAGAUGAGAAAAAACAAGUACUACUGAGAAAGAAUCAACCCUACUGUGAUGGCUUGAGCCAGAGUAGAAACCAACAGCUAUACCUGAUCGGUGUCAAUGUUGAUGGAUUGAUCUAUCACAUAUACUCCUGAGUCCUUCCAUCCCGAACACAAACAUACAUGAGAAAGUACCAAAGCCAGAUAAGGAACUUGACAUAGCACCAUUUUAAUUCUCUUUCUCUUCACUUGCGCUGACUUUAUAGGCACCUCCUACAUGAUCAUUCUCUGUCUGCUCAAUUUUGAUUCAAACUAGGGCAGGCAUAGAUAUAAGGCCCAGCCAACCUCAGCUGCCGCGCAUGAUGCAAACCUGUAGCAGGAUAUUGGUCAAUAAU